GAUGAAGAACGUAGCAAAAUGCGAUACUUGGUGUGAAUUGCAGAAUCCCGUGAACCAUCGAGUCUUUGAACGCAAGUUGCGCCUCAAGCCAUUAGGUUAAGGGCACGUCUGCCUGGGCGUCACAUAUCGUUGCCUGAUGCCAGUUUCCUCGUGAUGGGUGACUGUGCAGGGCGAAUGAUGGCUUCCCGUGAGCAUUGUUGCCUCAUGGUUGGUUGAAAAUUGAGUCCUUGGUAGGGAGCGCCGUGAUAGAUGGUGGUUGAGUGACGAACGAGACCCAAUCAUGUGAGACCCCUACCGAAUUUGGCCUUCAUGACCCACAUGCGUCUUUGGAACGCUCAUGACGAGACCUCAGGUCAGGCGGGGCUACCCGCUGAGUUUAAGCAUAUCAAUAAGCGGAGGA
rnacentral:misc_RNA from 1 species